rnacentral:lncRNA from 1 species
GUGAAUCUUUGCAGGUAGGGAAGAAGUAGGGGGCAUGUCUGGCUGAGAACCGGCCUGAUCAUAGAGUGGAAAAAUGAAAGGCAGAGGUGAAGGAAGAAUACUAAAUGUGAAAGGCUGAAAUACACAGGGAAGUGUUUCCAGUGUGCAACAGAAUCUCAUCUCGUGCAAAAUUGAAUUAGACUUCCUUACUCCUUCCUUACUCUGGGUAGGUCCAUGUGCAGCCUUUCCUCAGAGCAUCUAGCCUGACAUACUUGGCUCAUCUGCUGUGCUUCUAAGCCAAAUAAAAAUCAUCAAACACAUCGAAGAUAUUUUUGGGAGUCACCAGGUUAAAGCAAAGCCUCAGUCACUGAAAGCAAAAACUGAAUUGUCCAGGUCUCCACUGACAAAACAGAGUAAAUGAUAGUAUGACAGAUAAUUUCAAGUUUUGCAAGACCCCAAUUUCUGAAAAAUGUCUCAUGACUCCAAAAAAUCACGUACUUCCUAAAAUGUUGCCAGUGGAGGACCGAAUCAAGGUUAUUGCUGACCUCAUUUUUUCAACCUUUUCAGUUAUUUGACCUGAAUAGGCAAUCCCCCAGGAUUUCUGAUUGAAUUCUACCUGAAAGUUUAGAUUUUAAAAGACAACCUGUAGGAAGCUAAGUCUCAGGCAACAAAAUUUAAAACCAUCAGAACUUGUUUCUCCAAACAUCAACCUGCUCCUGUCAAGUCCUUUUUCAUCUCUCCCUUUUGUCCCUUUACAUACUGUUUUGUAAGUUCCUUUUGAUAUCAUUUAUUGCAGGCAGUAUUUUUACAUCCAUCUUCAAGAAACUUGGGAGACAUUUAGACAUUUAGUAUGUGUACUUUUAGUUGUCUUGCCUCUUUAUUUCAGAUAAUGCCUGUGAUUAGUGAAUGGCGGCAUUAUUCCUGAAGACAAAUGAAGGAAGAUAGGGACCAAGAUCGACUGUCAUUUGAAUGAUGGAAGAGAAGUAGAAUUACUGUGAGGUUACAAAAAUCAGCUACAGUAUUCUUCAAUGGUGGUGACUGACCAGUGAGUUUCUACUUCCUACAGAUGGGACACAACAGUCAUGGGCUGUCUCAGCUGCCCAAAGCCUGAGGCAGACCACAUGAGAGCUGUGGCUUCUUCUUGGAUUCAGAAAGGGAAAAUAGCAACAGGAAGGUUGAGUCACUUGUCCAAGAUCACACAGUUCAUAAGUGAUGGAGCCAGAAUUCCAACCCAGGGCGUCUGACUUCAGAGCCUAAAGCUCUCUCUUGUAAAACUGUGGAAGCUG